rnacentral:rRNA from 1 species
AUGCCUAUCGUGCUCUCUUACUUGUGCUUUCUGGAAGCAUGGCAACACAGCUCAGUUGGUGAUCUAGCUAGCUAUUUCAAUCUCGCGGUCUUGCAAGUAGUUCUGCGAAAGUUUGGCCCCGGGCGAUCGAUCGAGAUGACUGGAGUGGCUGAAGUAAUUGGUUUGAUCAGCGCGCUCCUCGCCAUCGCACGUGAGAUCAGUUCGCUGGCGGAGAGGGCUCAGCGCAACAGGGAGCAAUGCAAGCUUCUCAGAGAUCACGUGGGAUCGAUCAUGCUCCUGCUCAGGGAGCUGCAGAACCAGAUGAAGCCGGAGCCGUGGAUGAAGGACUUGCUGGAAAAUCUAAACGAUGCACUCAGAGACGGGAGAUCCCUUGUCGAAUCCUGCCAAGAUAAGAGAACCUGGUCACGCGUCUUCAAAACCGAGAAGAAGGCCAAGAAGUUCGAUGCCCUUGACCACCGGAUCUCCAGGAUCCUGCAGCAGUUCCACCUUGUCAACAUGAUCCUCAUUGUCAGGGUGAACAAUGAGCGCUUCUUCCAGAAUGUGCUCCGGAAGCUACUUGAAGAUGGUGCUUGCAAGCGCUUGCCGCAGGACGUAAAGGAGGAGCUCGAGUCAUCUAUCAAGAAGCUGACUAACACAGACAAUAUGUCACCCGACGCACAAGAUUUGCUGGAAUGGAUAAAAAGGGACAUCACAUACACAUACAGGGAUGCUGCGACCAGCGGAUCGUCAGGAGCACAGGCAUCAUCAACUGGCGACUAUCUCAUGUUGGACAUCUUGGACCUCACGGAACAAAUCAGGGAGGAGGCGGCGAUGGGCAACAACGGGGACGAAAUCCGGCGACUUGUGCAUCUCGUGCAGCAGGUAACCAAAAUUAUUCAGCAUCUCCAGACUUCCGAGCUGUCGCUGGACCCCAGUACGAGGCGGACGCUUGAGGAGCUAAAAGCAGAUCUCGUGGUGAUCUCUGAUAACAUCAUCUGGUACAACCGCAAGGAGCACAACAAAGUAAAGAGGGGCAUGCUCUGCGGCCCGAACAACGCCUACGAGGCACACAAGGAUGCCUACAAGAUCGAGUACUACAUCCAAGUCCUCGUAAUAGCCUUGCGUCAGCUAUAUGAACGUAAUUAA